GUGAUGGAGUCAGGGUUACGGCGAUAGAUGACCGGAGGCGCUAUCGCUGA
rnacentral:snoRNA from 1 species